rnacentral:rRNA from 1 species
UGGGGAAUAUUGCACAAUGGGCGAAAGCCUGAUGCAGCGACGCCGCGUGAGGGACGAAGGUCUUCGGAUUGUAAACCUCUUUCAGCAGGGACGAGGCGAAAGUGACUGUACCUGCAGAAGAAGCACCGGCUAACUACGUGCCAGCAGCCGCGGUAAUACGUAGGGUGCAAGCGUUGUCCGGAUUUAUUGGGCGUAAAGAGCUCGUAGGCGGUUCGUCACGUCGGAUGUGAAAACCUGGGGCUUAACCCCGGGCCUGCAUACGAUACGGGCGAACUAGAGUUCGGUAGGGGAGACUGGAAUUCCUGGUGUAGCGGUGAAAUGCGCAGAUAUCAGGAGGAACACCGGUGGCGAAGGCGGGUCUCUGGGCCGAUACUGACGCUGAGGAGCGAAAGCGUGGGGAGCAAACA